rnacentral:rRNA from 1 species
UUGAACGCUGGCGGCAUGCCUUACACAUGCAAGUCGAACGGUAACAGGUUAAGCUGACGGGUGGCGAACGGGUGAGUAAUACAUCGGAACGUGCCCAGUAGUGGGGGAUAGCCCGGCGAAAGCCGGAUUAAUACCGCAUACGACCUAAGGGUGAAAGGGGGGGAUCGCAAGACCUCUCGCUAUUGGAGCGGCCGAUGUCAGAUUAGCUAGUUGGUGGGGUAAAAGCUCACCAAGGCGACGAUCUGUAGCUGGUCUGAGAGGACGACCAGCCACACUGGGACUGAGACACGGCCCAGACUCCUACGGGAGGCAGCAGUGGGGAAUUUUGGACAAUGGGCGCAAGCCUGAUCCAGCCAUGCCGCGUGCGGGAAGAAGGCCUUCGGGUUGUAAACCGCUUUUGUCAGGGAAGAAAUCCUUUGGGUUAAUACCUCGGGGGGAUGACGGUACCUGAAGAAUAAGCACCGGCUAACUACGUG